rnacentral:rRNA from 1 species
CUACGGGAUGCUCCAGUGGGGAAUAUUGCACAAUGGGCGCAAGCCUGAUGCAGCCAUGCCGCGUGUAUGAAGAAGGCCUUCGGGUUGUAAAGUACUUUCAGCGGGGAGGAAGGGAGUAAAGUUAAUACCUUUGCUCAUUGACGUUACCCGCAGAAGAAGCACCGGCUAACUCCGUGCCAGCAGCCGCGGUAAUACGUGAGGGUGCAAGCGUUAAUCGGAAUUACUGGGCGUAAAGCGCACGCAGGCGGUUUGUUAAGUCAGAUGUGAAAUCCCCGGGCUCAACCUGGGAACUGCAUCUGAACUGGCAAGCUUGAGUCUCGUAGAGGGGGGUAGAAUUCCAGGUGUAGCGGUGAAAUGCGUAGAGAUCUGGAGGAAUACCGGUGGCGAAGGCGGCCCCCUGGACGAAGACUGACGCUCAGGUGCGAAAGCGUGGGGAGCAAACAGGAUUAGAUACCCUUGUAGUC